rnacentral:rRNA from 1 species
ACGGAAGGCAGCAGUGGGGAAUAUUGCACAAUGGAGGAAACUCUGAUGCAGCGACGCCGCGUGAGGGAAGAAGGUCUUCGGAUUGUAAACCUCUGUUGUCAGGGACGAUGAUGACGGUACCUGACGAGGAAGCCACGGCUAACUACGUGCCAGCAGCCGCGGUAAAACGUAGGUGGCAAGCGUUGUCCGGAAUUACUGGGUGUAAAGGGAGCGCAGGCGGGAGAGCAAGUUGGGAGUGAAAUCUGUGGGCUCAACCCACAAAUUGCUUUCAAAACUGUUUUUCUUGAGUGGUGUAGAGGUAGGCGGAAUUCCCGGUGUAGCGGUGGAAUGCGUAGAUAUCGGGAGGAACACCAGUGGCGAAGGCGGCCUACUGGGCACUAACUGACGCUGAGGCUCGAAAGCAUGGGUAGCAAACAGGAUUAGAUACCCUGGUA